rnacentral:piRNA from 1 species
UGAGACCAGUGUCUAUAACCAGCAC